AUUGAACGCUGGCGGCAGGCCUAACACAUGCAAGUCGAGCGGAUGAAGAGAGCUUGCUCUCUGAUUUAGCGGCGGACGGGUGAGUAAUGCCUAGGAAUCUGCCUGGUAGUGGGGGAUAACGUCCGGAAACGGGCGCUAAUACCGCAUACGUCCUACGGGAGAAAGCAGGGGACCUUCGGGCCUUGCGCUAUCAGAUGAGCCUAGGUCGGAUUAGCUAGUUGGUGAGGUAAUGGCUCACAAAGGCUACGAUCCGUAACUGGUCUGAGAGGAUGAUCAGUCGCCCGGGAACAGAGACACGGUCCAGACCCCUACGGGAGGCGGCAGUGGGGAAUAUUGGACAAGGGGCGAAAGGCUGAUACCGCCAUGCCGCGUGUGUGAAGAAGGGCUUCGGAUUGUAAAGCCCUUUAAGUUGGGAGGAAGGGCAGUAAGCUAAUACCUUGCUGUUUUGACGUUACCGACAGAAUAAGCACCGGCUAACUUCGUGCCAGUAGCCGCCGUAAAAC
rnacentral:rRNA from 1 species